AGCUCCAAUAGCGUAUAUUAAAGUUGUUGCAGUUAAAAGCUCGUAGUUGGAUUUCUGGCACGCUGCGCCUGGCCCGCCUGCGUUAGCAGUGUGAGUGCCGGUUUUGCGCGGUUGCCAUCCUUCCAGAGAUCGGGCCUGCCCUUCACUGGGUUGGGUCCGCGAUCUGGAUCUUUUACUUUGAAAAAUUAGAGUGUUUAAGGCAGGCAAUUGCUGUGAAUACAUUAGCAUGGAAUAAUAACAUAGGACUUGGGUUCUAUUUUGUUGGUUUCUAGAGCCGAAGUAAUGAUUGAUAGGGAUGGUUGGGGGUGCUAGUAUUGAGCGGCCAGAGGUGAAAUUCUUGGAUUCGCUCAAGACUAACUUAUGCGAAAGCAUUCACCAAGGACGUCUUCU
rnacentral:rRNA from 1 species